rnacentral:rRNA from 2 species
CUUGAUUUAACCAUAAGAGGUCCAGCCUGCCCAGUGACAUUGUUCAACGGCCGCGGUAUCCUAACCGUGCGAAGGUAGCGUAAUCACUUGUCCUUUAAAUGCGGACCAGUAUGAAUGGCCACACGAAAGCUAUACUGUCUCCUUUUUCUAAUCAGUUAAACUAAUCUUCCCGUGAAGAAGCGGGAAUAACCCUAUAAGACGAGAAGACCCUAUGGAGCUUUAAACAAUUGAAACACUUGUACCCAUCUUCCUACUUCCGAUAAUUCACACUUAAUAUCACAUUUUGUUUCUAGUUUUAGGUUGGGGUGACCGCGGAGAAAAAACAAACCUCCACGCUGAAAGAGUUAAUCUCUAAACAAAAAGCUACAGCUUUAAGUAUUAACACAUUAACCUGAAUUGACCCA